GACGUGGUGCUCGAAUGGUUGAAGGGGAGGGAUUGCAAAUCCCUUAGCGAAAGCUCAUUGUAGGUCCGAAUCCUAUCCACGUCU
rnacentral:tRNA from 1 species